rnacentral:rRNA from 1 species
AAUCAACGCUGGCGGCGUGCCUAACACAUGCAAGUCGCACGAGAAAGUGGAGCAAUCCAUGAGUAAAGUGGCGUACGGGUGAGUAACACGUGACUAACCUACCUUCGAGUGGGGAAUAACCUCGGGAAACCGGGGCUAAUACCGCAUAACAUCUUCUGGCUGAGAUGCCGGUUGAUCAAAGUAGCAAUGCGCUUGAAGAGGGGGUCGCGGCUGAUUAGCUAGUUGGUGGGGUAACGGCCCACCAAGGCGAUGAUCAGUAGCCGGCCUGAG